ACGGAGGGUGCGAGCGUUGUCCGGAAUCAUUGGGCGUAAAGGGCGCGUAGGUGGCUUCUUAAGCGUGCGGUGAAAGCCUGGGGCUCAACCCCGGGUCGGCCGUGCGAACUGGGGGGCUGGAGCACUGUAGAGGCAGGCGGAAUUCCGGGUGUAGCGGUGGAAUGCGUAGAGAUCCGGAAGAACACCGGUGGCGAAGGCAGCUCUCUGGGACGGUACUGACGCUGAGACGCGAAAGCGUGGGGAGCGAACAGGA
rnacentral:rRNA from 1 species